ACGCGCUUGAGGCAGUUACUCCGCCUCAGCGCCUCAGCCGGUGGGACCGGCGGGGUUAGGUUCCCCUGCGGCCUGCCUUCAGCUGUGGCAAGAUAAAGCCUUCUUCAAAAUUCAAAUGGAAGGAAAAGCCGAGGAAAAAAGAUGUUGCAAGAAAACCUUGUCAUUGUGACCUCCUGGGUGAUUUGAAAAUGAAAAUGCCUAAGCAAGGGAAGGGGAGAUCAAUUGGGACUGUAAAUGGAGAACUCUGAAUAUCAGAAGCUACUGGUCACCUUUGUGGUAGUGUUCUGGAAACUGGGAUGCUGAUGGCAAUGAGUAAGUUUUUGCUUAGUGACCGAACUCUCAUGCUAGAUGUCCUCAACC